GGUGAACGCUGGCGGCGUGCUUAACACAUGCAAGUCGAGCGAGUGAGUUCUUCGGAACGAUCUAGCGGCGGACGGGUGAGUAACACGUGGGCAACCUGCCUCAUAGAGGGGAAUAGCCUUCCGAAAGGGAGAUUAAUACCGCAUAACAUCGUUGAAGGGCAUCCUUCGAUGAUCAAAGGAGCAAUCCGCUAUGAGAUGGGCCCGCGGCGCAUUAGCUAGUUGGUGAGGUAACGGCUCACCAAGGCGACGAUGCGUAGCCGACCUGAGAGGGUGAUCGGCCACAUUGGGACUGAUACACGGCCCAGACUCCUACGGGAGGCAGCAGUGGGGAAUAUUGCACAAUGGGGGAAACCCUGAUGCAGCAACGCCGCGUGAGUGAUGACGGCCUUCGGGUUGUAAAGCUCUGUCUUUGGGGACGAUAAUGACGGUACCCAAGGAGGAAGUCACGGCUAACUACGUGCCAGCCGCCGCCGUAA
rnacentral:rRNA from 1 species